rnacentral:rRNA from 1 species
GGGGGUCAUCCCGACUUACCGACCCGAUGCAAACUGCGAAUACCGGAGAAUGUUAUCACGGGAGACACACGGCGGGUGCUAACGUCCGUCGUGAAGAGGGAAACAACCCAGACCGCCAGCUAAGGUCCCAAAGUCAUGGUUAAGUGGGAAACGAUGUGGGAAGGCCCAGACAGCCAGGAUGUUGGCUUAGAAGCAGCCAUCAUUUAAAGAAAGCGUAAUAGCUCACUGGUCGAGUCGGCCUGCGCGGAAGAUGUAACGGGGCUAAACCAUGCACCGAAGCUGCGGCAGCGACGCUUAUGCGUUGUUGGGUAG